CAGUAGCCGCGGUAACACCAGCAGCCCAAGUGGUGGUCGCGUUUAUUGGGCCUAAAGCGCUCGUAGCCUGACCGGUAAGUUCCCCGUGAAAUCGGGUCGCCCAACGAUUCGGCUUGCGGGGAAUACUGUCGGUCUUGGGGCCGGGAGACGCCGAGGGUACUCCGGGGGUAGCGGUGAAAUGCUGUAAUCCUCGGGGGACUACCAGUGGCGAAGGCGCUCGGCGAUAACGGGCCUGACGGUGAGGGGCGAAAGCUGGGGGCGCGAACGGGAUUAGAUACCCCCGUAGUCCCUGUCUCUUAUA
rnacentral:rRNA from 1 species